GCCGGGAGUCGUGGCGCGCUCCUGUAAUCCAGCUUCCCGGAGGCCAGGUCCAGGGACGGCCCCGGUCCGGGGUUGUGGCCCCGCGCCGUGUCCGUGCCGACAGGGCGUCCGCGCUAAGCGGGGCGUCGAUAUGGCGGGCCCGGGGGAGCCCGGGGUGGCCAGGUCGCCUAACGAGGAGCGCACCGGCACAGGGCGGAGAGGCAGCAGGCAGAAGCUCCCGCGCCCCGGAACGGGACACGCGGGGCUGCCCGGACACGGAGUCCGGACCUGAACCUUU
rnacentral:SRP_RNA from 1 species